CCAUGCUGUGCUGCUACCAUGUUGUGUUGUCAUGUGUUGCUGCCAUGCUGUGUUGCUACCAUGCUGUGUUGCUACCAUGCUGUGUUGCUACCAUGCUGUGUUGUCAUGUGUUGCUGCCAUGCUGUGUUGCUACCAUGCUUUGUGCUGCUACCAUGUUGUGUUGUCAUGUGAUGCUACCAUGCUGUGUUGCUACCAUGCUGUUCUGCUACCAUGUUGUGUUGUCAUGUGUUGCUGCCAUGCUGUGUUGCUACCAUGUUGUUCUGCUACCAUGUUGUGUUGUCAUGUGAUGCUACCAUGCUGUGUUGCUACCAUGCUUUGUGCUGCUACCAUGUUGUGUUGUCAUGUGUUGCUGCCAUGCUGUGUUGCUACCAUGCUGUUUCGCUACCAUGUUGUGUUGUCAUGUGUUGCUGCCAUGCUGUGUUGCUACCAUGCUUUGUGCUGCUACCAUGUUGUGUUGUCAUGUGUUGCUGCCAUGCUGUGUUGCUACCAUGCUUUGUGCUGCUACCAUGUUGUGUUGUCAUGCGUUGCUGCCAUGCUGUGUUGCUACCAUGCUGUGUUGCUACCAUGUUGUGUUGUCAUGUGUUGCUGCCAUGCUGUGUUGCUACCAUGUUGUGUUGUCAUGUGUUGCUGCCAUGCUGUGUUGCUACCAUGCUUUGUGCUGCUACCAUGUUGUGUUGUCAUGUGUUGCUGCCAUGCUGUGUUGCUACCAUGCUUUGUGCUGCUACCAUGUUGUGUUGUCAUGUGUUGCUGCCAUGCUGUGUUGCUACCAUGCUUUGUGCUGCUACCAUGUUGUGUUGUCAUGUGUUGCUGCCAUGCUGUGUUGCUACCAUGCUUUGUGCUGCUACCAUGUUGUGUUGUCAUGUGUUGCUGCCAUGCUGUGUUGCUACCAUGCUGUGUUGCUACCAUGUUGUGUUGUUAUCUGUUGCUGCCAUGCUGUGUUGCUACCAUGUUGUGUUGUCAUCUGUUGCUGCCAUGCUGUGUUGCUACCAUGUUGUGUUGUCAUCUGUUGCUGCCAUGCUGUGUUGCUACCAUGUUGUGUUGUCAUGUGAUGCUGCCAUGCUGUGUUGCUACCAUGCUGUGUUGCUACCAUGUUGUGUUGUCAUGUGAUGCUGCCAUGCUGUGUUGUUGUCUCAGGUCUCUCUUUAUGUAGUGUUGUGAUGUGUCUUUUGUUCUAUAUUUUCUUGUCCCUGUCCCCGCAGGAGGUCUUUGCCUUUUGACCCUCCCACUCUGUCUGCCGAAUUCUUUCUCUUUGCUCUUGUUUUCCUUAUUAGGACGUCGGUGGGCGGAGCCGGGAGGGUCGUCCGAGAAAUGGGCCCGGGUGUGUCCCAGGAUAAAUGCACCUCUUCCCCAUUCAUUGGGGAGACUCUCUCCAUGCAGACACUGAUUUUGCUUGUGUCUGUUUUUGGUUGCGUUGGCACCUUUCAACUCAUUAUCUUAUUUAUGCACGCAACCACUCACUUACACUACUGAUUACUGACUACACACACCAUUGUUAAUUGUAUUU
rnacentral:lncRNA from 1 species